GACGGAGGGUGCAAGCGUUGUUCGGAAUUACUGGGCGUAAAGGGCGCGUAGGCGGUCUGUUAAGUUCGGUGUGAAAGCCCCCGGCUCACCUGGGGAACUGCGCCGGAAACCGACAGACUCGAGUACUGGAGAGGAGGGUGGAAUUCCCGGUGUAGCGGUGAAAUGCGUAGAUAUCAGGAGGAACACCGGUGGCGAAGGCGGCCCUCUGGACGGAUACUGACGCUGAGGCGCGAAAGCGUGGGGAUCAAACAGG
rnacentral:rRNA from 1 species